rnacentral:rRNA from 1 species
AGAGUUUGAUCCUGGCUCAGGACGAACGCUGGCGGCGCGCCUAACACAUGCAAGUCGAACGGAAUGCGGAGAGGAUUUAUCUUUUCUGUGUUUAGUGGCGAACGGGUGAGUAACGCGUGAGGAACCUGCCUCAAAGAGGGGGACAACAGUUGGAAACGACUGCUAAUACCGCAUAAGCCCACGGGGCCGCAUGGCCCUGAGGGAAAAGGAGCAAUCCGCUUUGAGAUGGCCUCGCGUCCGAUUAGCUGGUUGGUGAGGUAACGGCCCACCAAGGCGACGAUCGGUAGCCGGACUGAGAGGUUGAACGGCCACAUUGGGACUGAGACACGGCCCAGACUCCUACGGGAGGCAGCAGUGGGGAAUAUUGCACAAUGGGGGAAACCCUGAUGCAGCGACGCCGCGUGGAGGAAGAAGGUCUUCGGAUUGUAAACUCCUGUUGUUGGGGAAAAGAAGGAUGGUACCCAACAAGGAAGUGACGGCUAACUACGUGCCAGCAGCCGCGGUAAAACGUAGGUCACGAGCGUUGUCCGGAAUUACUGGGUGUAAAGGGAGCGCAGGCGGGUAUGCAAGUUGGGAGUGAAAUGCAUGGGCUCAACCCAUGAACUGCUCUCAAAACUGUGUAUCUUGAGUAGUGCAGAGGUAGGCGGAAUUCCCGGUGUAGCGGUGGAAUGCGUAGAUAUCGGGAGGAACACCAGUGGCGAAGGCGGCCUACUGGGCACCAACUGACGCUGAGGCUCGAAAGUGUGGGUAGCAAACAGGAUUAGAUACCCUGGUAGUCCACACCGUAAACGAUGAUUACUAGGUGUUGGAGGAUAGACCCCUUCAGUGCCGCAGUUAACACAAUAAGUAAUCCACCUGGGGAGUACGACCGCAAGGUUGAAACUCAAAGGAAUUGACGGGGGCCCGCACAAGCAGUGGAGUAUGUGGUUUAAUUCGACGCAACGCGAAGAACCUUACCAAGUCUUGACAUCCUCUGGCGAGUACAGAAAUGUGCUUUUCCUUCGGGACAGAGAGACAGGUGGUGCAUGGUUGUCGUCAGCUCGUGUCGUGAGAUGUUGGGU